UGGGGAAUUUUGGACAAUGGGCGCAAGCCUGAUCCAGCAAUGCCGCGUGCAGGAUGAAGGCCUUCGGGUUGUAAACUGCUUUUGUACGGAACGAAAAAGCUCUCUCUAAUACAGGGGGUGAAUGACGGUACCGUAAGAAUAAGCACCGGCUAACUACGUGCCAGCAGCCGCGGUAAUACGUAGGGUGCAAGCGUUAAUCGGAAUUACUGGGCGUAAAGCGUGCGCAGGCGGUUUUGUAAGACAGAGGUGAAAUCCCCGGGCUCAACCUGGGAACUGCCUUUGUGACUGCAAAGCUGGAGUGCGGCAGAGGGGGAUGGAAUUCCGCGUGUAGCAGUGAAAUGCGGAGAUAUGCGGAGGAACACCGAUGGCGAAGGCAAUCCCCUGGGCCUGCACUGACGCUCAUGCACGAAAGCGUGGGGAGCAAAC
rnacentral:rRNA from 1 species